GUUCCUGCGGGGUAUAGAAGGAAACAGGAAGGUCCCUGCUGCUUAACCUUUUUGUUGAGAAAGCCCAAGUCAUUUAGAGAGCUUAACAUGGCCUGGGCUCUGUCUUUCCUUGCACUUCUUGGCUAUUUCUCAGGUAAGGAUGUGGAAGAUUCCCUUUCCAUAGGCUUCUGGGCAAAUUAGCACCAACUGCAGUUUGCCUUUAUCAUACUGCUUUUAGGAUGUUUGUGAGAAAAUCCUGUGAAUCAAUAUCUUCUCUUUCUUUCUUUUUCUUUUUGCAAAGGUGUCAUUUCUCAACACACUGUGACUCAACCUACAUCGGAGUCUUUGUCCCCAGGACAAACAGCUAAAUUCUCUUGCACUGCCAGCAGCCGUCCCAGCAGCGGCUAUAUUCACUGGUAUCAACAGAAAGCUGGGCAGGCCCCUCGCUUUGUGCAUGUUAAUGGUGGCAGCAGGGGAGAAGGGAUCCCUGAUCGAUUCACCGCUUCUGUCUCUGGGAAUACUGGCUAUUUAACCAUCACCAACCUCCAGGCUGACGAUGAGGCUGUCUAUUACUGUGGGGCUUGGUUUAACAGCUAUAGCUUGUGG